rnacentral:rRNA from 1 species
GCUGACGACCGGCGCACGGGUGCGGAACGCGUAUGGAACCUGCCCCUGUCAGGGGAAUAGCCCAGAGAAAUUUGGAUUAAUGCCCCAUGGUACCGAUAUACUGCAUGGUAUAUCGGUUAAAGAUUUAUCGGACAGGGAUGGCCAUGCGUACCAUUAGCUUGUUGGUAAGGUAACGGCUUACCAAGGCAACGAUGGUUAGGGGCCCUGAGAGGGGGAUCCCCCACACUGGUACUGAGACACGGACCAGACUCCUACGGGAGGCAGCAGUGAGGAAUAUUGGACAAUGGGCGAGGGCCUGAUCCAGCCAUGCCGCGUGCAGGAUGACUGCCCUAUGGGUUGUAAACUGCUUUUGUACGGGAAGAAACCCGCCUACGAGUAGGCGGCUGACGGUACCGUAAGAAUAAGGACCGGCUAACUCCGUGCCAGCAGCCGCGGUAAUACGGAGGGUCCGAGCGUUAUCCGGAAUCAUUGGGUUUAAAGGGUCCGUAGGCGGGCGCGUAAGUCAGGGGUGAAAGGCCACAGCUCAACUGUGGGACUGCCCUUGAUACUGCGUGCCUUGAGUUAUGGUGGGGUCGCCGGAACAUGUGGUGUAGCGGUGAAAUGCAUAGAUAUCACAUAGAACACCGAUCGCGAAGGCAGGUGGCCAACCAUAUACUGACGCUGAUGGACGAAAGCGUGGGGAGCGAACGGGAUUAGAUACCCCGGUAGUCCACGCCGUAAACGAUGGAUACUAGCUGUCGGGCCUUCGGGUUCGGCGGCCAAGCGAAAGUGAUAAGUAUCCCACCUGGGGAGUACGUUCGCAAGAAUGAAACUCAAGGAAUUGACGGGGCCCGCACAGCGGUGGAGCAU